GCAGGAUGUCCUCAGAGCUUUGUUAAAUGUUAUAGAGAUGAUGAGGUGUUUAGUUUGAUCAAAGGCAGCUGAGCAGUUGUCUGUCUCAGUUCAGCAGGCUUAGCUGUGGAGUGCUGUCACUGACUGUGACAUCAUGUGGGGACAGAGGCUGUGUAACUGACUGGGAAGAGGGAGGUUCUGAGCCAAGAUGGUGGAGUGAUAAGUACAGCCAACUGAGGACAGGCUGGAGCCAAAAUGGUUAAUUGCUUCUCCUACAGCGAAGAAGAGCUUAUCACUGUUUUGUUGAAGGCACUUUUAAUCUGGACGUAUCACUUGGAAAUAUGAGUUGGCUUGAGAAGAAACGGAAAAUGGGGGUGAGAGAUGAAGAGAUGAAGAGUAAGAAGGGGAAAUGGAGGAGACAGGGUGAAGGGACUUUGAAAAGGCUCUUUCUGCACAUUACAGGGGUUUCCAUGGCAACAAUAUAGCAGGGCCUGGCCUGCUAAAGUUCCCUCACUGCUUUAGAGGACACAGCUAAUGAGGAAUUGAUCAAUAUGGAUGGAUUGUCUGGGUAUUGAGCACCUUUACAAAUGAAUAGGAUUCCUUAGUGAAACACAGCUUGAUGAUCUCGGGACUGACUAUGCAUCUUCAAUACAUGAACCUGUGCAUGAAACAAAAUGCAUUCAUGCAUAAGACACAUAGCUAAGUAGGGAGCUUCAAUUCUGACAUCAGACUCAGCGCAAAGGCAGAUCAAUUGAAGAUCCUCACUCUCUGUCAUGUGAUAACAAAAAGAUAUUUGUAGCAAAGCAAAUUGAAAAUGGGUGGCUACUUGAGAAAAACACCAGAUUUGCAUGAUUUUUUAUUACUGAAAAGAGACAAUCUGUCCAAUAAACAGAUGAAACUCUUAAAUUAUCA